rnacentral:rRNA from 1 species
CCUACGGGUGGCAGCAGUGGGGAAUAUUGGGCAAUGGGCGCAAGCCUGACCCAGCAACGCCGCGUGAAGGAAGAAGGCUUUCGGGUUGUAAACUUCUUUUCUCAGGGACGAAGAAAUUGACGUUCCCUCAGGAUUAAGCACCGGAUAACUACGUGCCAGCAGCCGCGGUAAUACGUCGGUGGCAAGCGUUAUCCGGAUUUAUUGGGUGGAAAGGGGGUGUAGGCGGGAAAGCAAGUCAGAUGUGAAAACGCAGGGCUCAACCGUGAGCCUGCAUUUGAAACUGUUUUUCUUGAGUGCUGGAGAGGCAGUCGGAAUUCCGUGUGGAGCGGUGAAAUGCGUAGAUAUAAGGAGGAACACCAGUGGCGAAGGCGGAUUGCUGGACAGUAACUGACGCUGAGGCGCGAAAGCGUGGGGAGCAAACAGGAUUAGAUACCCUGGUAGUC